UGGGUCUUACGAUUCAAUGCGGAAGCGGGCAAAGGGCAGGAAAACCAAAACGACUUCAGUAGAAUUGUGGAAAAUCAGCAUUUAAUCCUUUUUUAUUAUUAUUAUUAUUUUAUAUCUCCGUUUAUAAUUUCUUUAAAUCAUCAUGAUUUUGUUGGAAAUCAACAAUCGGAUCAUAGAGGAGACUCUAACCCUCAAAUUCGACUGUGCGAGCAACGGGAACAAGCCUGAAGCAGUAGACGUUACAUUUGCAGACUUUGAUGGUGUGCUCUACCACAUCUCAAACCCCAAUGGAGACAAAACCAAAGUCAUGGUCAGCAUUUCUCUGAAGUUCUUCAAGGAGCUUCAGGAGCAUGGAGCCAAUGAGUUGCUGAAGCGUGUUUAUGGCAAUUUACUUGUGGCUCCAGAAGAUGGGUACAAUAUUUCCCUGCUCUUUGACCUGGAUGCUCUUCCACCCAACAAAGAGGAGAUGAUCCACCAGGCAGGCAUUCUGAAGAGGAACUGCUUUGCCUCCGUCUUUGAGAAGUACUUCAAGUUCCAGGAGGAAGGUCGUGAGGGAGACAAGAGGGCUGUUGUGCAUUAUAGGGACGAUGAGUCAAUGUAUAUCGAGGCAAAGAAAGACAGAGUGACUGUUGUGUUCAGCACAGUGUUCAAGGAUGACGAUGAUGUCAUCAUCGGGAAGGUGUUCAUGCAGGAGUUUAAAGAGGGACGGAGGGCCAGUCACACGGCCCCUCAGGUGCUGUUUAGUCACAGAGAGCCUCCUCUGGAGCUGAAGGAUACUGACGCAACAGUGGGAGACAAUAUUGGAUACAUAACUUUUGUGCUGUUCCCCCGACACACCAAUGCCAACACCAGAGACAACACCAUCAACCUCAUCCACACCUUCAGAGACUAUCUGCACUACCACAUAAAGUGCUCCAAGCCGGUUCUUCUUUCCUGUGUGUGCGGACAUGACGUAAUGACGCAAGGAUGUACGUCAUGAGCCAGCGAUUUCGCACCAAAUCCAACCCGAGAGCGCAAAAUCCAAAUAAUUUGUAUAGGCUUACCAUAGUGAAUCGGGUAAAAAGGCCUACAUCCACACUCGUAUGAGGUCCAAGACCUCUGACUUCCUCAAGGUACUGAACCGAGCUCGCCCGGACGCUGAGAAGAAAGAGAUGAAAACUAUUUCGGGCAAGACCUUCUCUCGUUAAGGACAUGUUGCACAAUCUGACCACAUGAACCCACAAGACCCCGAUGAGACAUCCGUAGACAUCAUCCACCUCUAGCCAGUACUGUCAGUUCUCCAUCUGAAAUUCUUGCUUCUUUGCAUUUAUUUGAUAAAUGUUAUUAUUAGUUUGUUGGAUAAACCUUUUUGGAUAUGGUCUUGUUUUAUUGCUUAGGACUCUCUGUUGUCUGACAGUGUUUUAUUGGCAUUAGUCAUGCAAUAUUUUCCCUUCCUCUUUUGCCUUCUUUGUUUCGCCAAAUGCAUCUAAAUUUGACAUCAUAAAAUAAACCCGUCUUCUAUACAA